rnacentral:rRNA from 1 species
CCUACGGGGGGCAGCAGUGGGGGAUAUUGCACAAUGGGGGGAACCCUGAUGCAGCGACGCCGCGUGGGUGAAGGAGUGCUUCGGCAUGUAAAGCCCUAUCGGCAGGGAAGAAGCAAGACGGUACUUGACUAAGAAGCCCCGGCUAACUACGUGCCAGCAGCCGCGGUAAAACGGAGGGGGCGAGCGUUAUCCGGAUUCACUGGGUGUAAAGGGAGCGUAGACGGCCAUGCAAGCCAGGGGUGAAAGCCCGGGGCCCAACCCCGGGACUGCCCUUGGAACUGCAUGGCUGGAGUGCGGGAGGGGCAGGCGGAAUUCCUGGUGUAGCGGUGAAAUGCGUAGAUAUCAGGAGGAACACCGGCGGCGAAGGCGGCCUGCUGGACCGCGACUGACGUUGAGGCUCGAAAGCGUGGGGAGCGAACAGGAUUAGAUACCCCGGUAGUC